rnacentral:rRNA from 1 species
UCACUUUCAACAACGGAUCUCUUGGUUCUCUCAUCGAUGAAAAACGUAGCGAAGUGCGAUAUGUAAUGUGAAUUGCAAAAUUCCGUGAAUCAUCGAAUUUUUGAACGCAAAUUGCACUCUCUUCGGAAAGUAUGCCUGUUUGAGGGUCA